GCAGCACUGAGAGGCCCCAACUGCCCCGUCAUGGCAUCUGUGCUCCUCCUCCUCCUCCUCCUCCUCGAUUGCAGAGAAAUCAUCUGAUGUGGAAGAAAGGGGCCGAGCGCAUCACGGGCUUCCUGGGGCUGCAGCCCCCGGCGCAGUUCCUCAUUCCCCUCGCACUCGGGCCUCACACUCGGAGGUGCUCAGCACCGGGGCGUUUGUGGUAGUACUGAGAGGACCCCCACUGUCCCAUCAUGGCAUCUGCUCUCACCGUCCUCCUCCUUGGCUGCUGGCUGGCCGGGCACAGCGGGGUGUGGGGAG